rnacentral:rRNA from 1 species
AUUGAACGCUGGCGGCAGGCCUAACACAUGCAAGUCGGACGGUAGCACAGAGAGCUUGCUCUCGGGUGACGAGUGGCGGACGGGUGAGUAAUGUCUGGGGAUCUGCCCGAUAGAGGGGGAUAACCACUGGAAACGGUGGCUAAUACCGCAUAACGUCGCAAGACCAAAGAGGGGGACCUUCGGGCCUCUCACUAUCGGAUGAACCCAGAUGGGAUUAGCUAGUAGGCGGGGUAACGGCCCACCUAGGCGACGAUCCCUAGCUGGUCUGAGAGGAUGACCAGCCACACUGGAACUGAGACACGGUCCAGACUCCUACGGGAGGCAGCAGUGGGGAAUAUUGCACAAUGGGCGCAAGCCUGAUGCAGCCAUGCCGCGUGUAUGAAGAAGGCCUUCGGGUUGUAAAGUACUUUCAGCGGGGAGGAAGGCGAUGUGGUUAAUAACCGCAUUGAUUGACGUUACCCGCAGAAGAAGCACCGGCUAACUCCGUGCCAGCAGCCGCGGUAAUACGGAGGGUGCAAGCGUUAAUCGGAAUUACUGGGCGUAAAGCGCACGCAGGCGGUCUGUUAAGUCAGAUGUGAAAUCCCCGGGCUUAACCUGGGAACUGCAUUUUGAAACUGGCAGGCUUAAGUCUCGUAGAGGGGGGUAGAAUUCCAGGUGUAGCGGUGAAAUGCGUAGAGAUCUGGAGGAAUACCGGUGGCGAAGGCGGCCCCCUGGACGAAGACUGACGCUCAGUUGCGAAGCUUGGGAAGCAAACAGGAUCAGAUAUCUGGGAUCCAGGGCGAAUUCCAUAGGGAUAUCACGCUAUCGAUACCGCGGCCUCUAGGUGUUAUGAACUGUACCAUUUUUUUUCGCUUUAGGGAGGGUUAAUA